UACGAAGGGGGCUAGCGUUGCUCGGAAUCACUGGGCGUAAAGCGCACGUAGGCGGAUUGUUAAGUCAGGGGUGAAAUCCUGGAGCUCAACUCCAGAACUGCCUUUGAUACUGGCGAUCUUGAGUCCGGGAGAGGUGAGUGGAACUCCGAGUGUAGAGGUGAAAAUUCGUAGAUAUUCGGAAGAACACCAGUGGCGAAGGCGGCUCACUGGCCCGGUACUGACGCUGAUGUGCGAAAGCGUGGGGAGCAAACAGG
rnacentral:rRNA from 1 species